rnacentral:tRNA from 2 species
GGGCUGGUAGCUCAGUCGGUUAGAGCACCGCCAUAUAUAGGCAGAGGUGCUGGGUUCAAUCCCCGGCCGGUCCA